AUUAGAUGAGCCUAUAUUAGAUUAGCUAGUUGGUGGAGUAAUAGCCUACCAAGGCAAUGAUCUAUAGCUGAUCUGAGAGGAUGAUCAGCCACACUGGAACUGAGAUACGGUCCAGACUCCUACGGGAGGCAGCAGUGGGGAAUAUUGGACAAUGGGCGAAAGCCUGAUCCAGCCAUGCCGCAUGAGUGAAGAAGGCCUUUGGGUUGUAAAGCUCUUUUAGUGAGGAAGAUAAUGACGGUACUCACAGAAGAAGUCCUGGCUAACUCCGUGCCAGCAGCCGCGGUAAUACGGAGAGGGCUAGCGUUAUUCGGAAUUAUUGGGCGUAAAGGGCGCGUAGGCUGAUUAAUAAGUUAAAAGUGAAAUCCCGAGGCUUAACCUUGGAAUUGCUUUUAAAACUAUUAAUCUAGAGAUUGAAAGAGGAUAGAGGAAUUCCUGAUGUAGAGGUAAAAUUCGUAAAUAUUAGGAGGAACACCAGUGGCGAAGGCGUCUAUCUGGUUCAAAUCUGACGUUGAAGCGCGAAGGCGUGGGGAGCAAACAGGAUUAGAUACCCUGGUAGUCCACGCUGUAAACGAUGAAUGUUAAAUAUGGGAAG
rnacentral:rRNA from 1 species